rnacentral:snRNA from 1 species
GGAUGUGAGGGCAAUCUGGCUGUGACAUAUGUACAUCUGUCACCCUCCUGAUCUCCAGGGCUGCUUUGGCGGACCUGGCUGACCUGGCUGACUAGGCAGGUGUCCCUUUCCUCCCUCAUUGCUCCAUGUAUGUCCCUCCUGAAGCUUCAUGAUUGGUCAGAGAGGACGAAGGACCGUUUCUUUGGUAUACAAGGAUAUACGAGUAGCUGCACUCCCCUGAUAGAACUUCCAAACAAGCUUCCAAAAGUCCUGUGAGCGUAUAAGAUCUUUGGGAGACAUUUUCAAUCUAAACUGUUACAUUCUGUCCCUGGCUGCCAAAAGAC